CACGGGGGGAACGAGCGUUGUUCGGAUUUACUGGGCGUAAAGGGUGCGUAGGCGGGUUGGCAAGUCGGGUGUGAAAUUCCAUAGCUUAACUAUGGACCUGCAUUCGAAACUGUUGAUCUUGAGUACUGGAGAGGUGAGUGGAAUUCUCGGUGUAGCGGUGAAAUGCGUAGAUAUCGAGAGGAACACCGUUGGCGAAGGCGGCUCACUGGACAGAUACUGACGCUGAGGCACGAAGGUCGGGGGAGCAAACAGG
rnacentral:rRNA from 1 species